UACGUAGGGGGCAAGCGUUGUCCGGAAUCAUUGGGCGUAAAGAGCGUGUAGGCGGUUCGGUAAGUCGGCUGUGAAAACCCGAGGCUCAACCUCGGGCCUGCAGUCGAUACGGGCGGACUGGAGUUCGGCAGGGGAGACUGGAAUUCCUGGUGUAGCGGUGAAAUGCGCAGAUAUCAGGAGGAAUACCGAUGGCGAAGGCAGGUCUCUGGGCUAUAACUGACGCUCAUGCACGAAAGCGUGGGGAGCAAACAGG
rnacentral:rRNA from 1 species